AUCUGUGUGACUGCGUACCUUUUGUAUAAUGGGUCAGCGACUUAUAUUCUGUAGCAAGGUUAACCGAAUAGGGGAGCCGAAGGGAAACCGAGUCUUAACGGGCGUUAAGUUGCAGGGUAUAGACCCGAAACCCGGUGAUCUAGCCAUGGGCAGGUUGAAGGUUGGGUAACACUAACUGGAGGACCGAACCGACUAAUGUUGAAAAAUUAGCGGAUGACUUGUGGCUGGGGGUGAAAGGCCAAUCAAACCGGGAGAUAGCUGGUUCUCCCCGAAAGCUAUUUAGGUAGCGCCUCGUGAAUUCAUCUCCGGGGGUAGAGCACUGUUUCGGCAAGGGGGUCAUCCCGACUUACCAACCCGAUGCAAACUGCGAAUACCGGAGAAUGUUAUCACGGGAGACACACGGCGGGUGCUAACGUCCGUCGUGAAGAGGGAAACAACCCAGACCGCCAGCUAAGGUCCCAAAGUCAUGGUUAAGUGGGAAACGAUGUGGGAAGGCCCAGACAGCCAGGAUGUUGGCUUAGAAGCAGCCAUCAUUUAAAGAAAGCGUAAUAGCUCACUGGUCGAGUCGGCCUGCGCGGAAGAUGUAACGGGGCUAAACCAUGCACCGAAGCUGCGGCAGCGACACUGUGUGUUGUUGGGUAGGGGAGCGUUCUGUAAGCCUGUGAAGGUGUCUGUGAGGAUGCUGGAGGUAUCAGAAGUGCGAAUGCUGACAUAAGUAACGAUAAAGCGGGUGAAAAGCCCGCUCGCCGGAAGACCAAGGGUUCCUGUCCAACGUUAAUCGGGGCAGGGUGAGUCGACCCCUAAGGCGAGGCCGAAAGGCGUAGUCGAUGGGAAACAGGUUAAUAUUCCUGUACUUGGUGUUACUGCGAAGGGGGGACGGAGAAGGCUAUGUUGGCCGGGCGACGGUUGUCCCGGUUUAAGCGUGUAGGCUGGUUUUCCAGGCAAAUCCGGAAAAUCAAGGCUGAGGCGUGAUGACGAGGCACUACGGUGCUGAAGCAACAAAUGCCCUGCUUCCAGGAAAAGCCUCUAAGCAUCAGGUAACAUCAAAUCGUACCCCAAACCGACACAGGUGGUCAGGUAGAGAAUACCAAGGCGCUUGAGAGAACUCGGGUGAAGGAACUAGGCAAAAUGGUGCCGUAACUUCGGGAGAAGGCACGCUGAUAUGUAGGUGAAGUCCCUCGCGGAUGGAGCUGAAAUCAGUCGAAGAUACCAGCUGGCUGCAACUGUUUAUUAAAAACACAGCACUGUGCAAACACGAAAGUGGACGUAUACGGUGUGACGCCUGCCCGGUGCCGGAAGGUUAAUUGAUGGGGUCAGCGCAAGCGAAGCUCUUGAUCGAAGCCCCGGUAAACGGCGGCCGUAACUAUAACGGUCCUAAGGUAGCGAAAUUCCUUGUCGGGUAAGUUCCGACCUGCACGAAUGGCGUAAUGAUGGCCAGGCUGUCUCCACCCGAGACUCAGUGAAAUUGAACUCGCUGUGAAGAUGCAGUGUACCCGCGGCAAGACGGAAAGACCCCGUGAACCUUUACUAUAGCUUGACACUGAACAUUGAGCCUUGAUGUGUAGGAUAGGUGGGAGGCUUUGAAGUGUGGACGCCAGUCUGCAUGGAGCCGACCUUGAAAUACCACCCUUUAAUGUUUGAUGUUCUAACGUGGACCCGUGAUCCGGGUUGCGGACAGUGUCUGGUGGGUAGUUUGACUGGGGCGGUCUCCUCCUAAAGAGUAACGGAGGAGCACGAAGGUUGGCUAAUCCUGGUCGGACAUCAGGAGGUUAGUGCAAUGGCAUAAGCCAGCUUGACUGCGAGCGUGACGGCGCGAGCAGGUGCGAAAGCAGGUCAUAGUGAUCCGGUGGUUCUGAAUGGAAGGGCCAUCGCUCAACGGAUAAAAGGUACUCCGGGGAUAACAGGCUGAUACCGCCCAAGAGUUCAUAUCGACGGCGGUGUUUGGCACCUCGAUGUCGGCUCAUCACAUCCUGGGGCUGAAGUAGGUCCCAAGGGUAUGGCUGUUCGCCAUUUAAAGUGGUACGCGAGCUGGGUUUAGAACGUCGUGAGACAGUUCGGUCCCUAUCUGCCGUGGGCGCUGGAGAACUGAGGGGGGCUGCUCCUAGUACGAGAGGACCGGAGUGGACGCAUCACUGGUGUUCGGGUUGUCAUGCCAAUGGCACUGCCCGGUAGCUAAAUGCGGAAGAGAUAAGUGCUGAAAGCAUCUAAGCACGAAACUUGCCCCGAGAUGAGUUCUCCCUGACCCUUUAAGGGUCCUGAAGGAACGUUGAAGACGACGACGUUGAUAGGCCGGGUGUGUAAGCGCAGCGAUGCGUUGAGCUAACCGGUACUAAUGAACCGUGAGGCUUAACCUU
rnacentral:rRNA from 1 species